UUUUCUCAUUCCACUUGUGCGUGUAUUUUAGAUGUAUUAAUAGAGACAACUUAAGCUUUUACAUAUUUUGUUCGACGAGAGCUGAAAAAGAACACAUACAAAAUAAGCGGCGAAGUAGACGAUUCUCUGUGGCAUUUCGUCGAACAGUCUAUGUACAAGAUGAAGAACCACCCUCUGCUCUCCAUUGCUAUCCCACUAAGCCUCGGAAUAUGCCUCCCAAUCUCUUCAUCGGCAAUGGCCGCCAGUACGAGAAAUCCAACCACCAGAAAAGAAACAAAAUCUUCAGGAACUUUGGAAAUUUGCUCGACAAAUAGAAAAUGGGAAAAGGUGAAAGAAUUUGUUGCAGAGCAAGUUCAACAAUCGGAAGAGGGAAUUUCUACGGACUGCAUUGUUAGUGGUGCCUUUAUGAAAAUUGUUGGAAAAGAGCAAGAAUUUUGCUAUGGUUAAGGAUUGGGAACAAAGCCAACAAGUAGGAGAUCCACACAUAGAAUUUACAAGCAAUUAUAAGCACAAAAGGGAGCUAGGAAAAGCAUGUCAUUAACGAGAGAGUAUAGGACCCUAUGGAAGUAGAAAAUUAACUUGUGGAGAAAUGGAAGAAGUCAUGAAAGCUCGUCUUGAACGGGCAAAAAUGUGAAGAGAGUAUCAUGGCACUAUUUUCCCAUAUUCAGAGUUCAAGUCCUCCAUUUGAGCCAUAUGAUCCAAGGUAUGCUGCCAUGGGUCUACCCUUGGAUCCUUACUUGCGUGCAUUCAAGCUGAACCCCAACUUAGGCAUCGCCAAGCCCAACGUGCGAUGAAAAAGACUCAAGAUCACCAGGUAAUUCAGUGUCUUGUAGCAGAAGGGGAAAAUACUAGUAUACUAUGGAACAUUCUCAUUCGUCUUUUUUUUUUCUCGUCUUUUGUUAUGGAUCUUGCUGUGAUCUGUUACCCCUUUCAAUUCCGUCUUUUGUUAUGGAUCUUGCUGUAAUCUGUUACCCCUUUCAAUUCCAUAAACAGAAAAAAAUGUCUGAACUUUUUCAUGGAAGUUUAGGUUUUGCGGUUUUGUUGUCAAAUUCAGGCUAUCAGUAGACUACAUUUCUUUAUUCAAUUCUUACGAUUUAAUGCUAAACCAUGUUUCUUAUUCAACAUUGUUGUUAUGAUUUACCUUAUACUUGAUGUCCUUUAGGAAUAUGAAAAUUCACAAUAUUUGUCCUUUGUUAGUAGUUUGGUUCAUUCAUACAGGUUUGUGGCUGGCAUAAUUAGACAUUUGGAGUAAUAUUGAAGUCAUCUUUCGUGUUUAUUUCUCUCAAUUAUUUAUGACGUGUUUCGUUGUUAAAAAAAAAAGAAAAAGUCUCCUAGUUUUUCGUAUGUAUAUGUUAUUGAAACAAUUGGUAAGUUUGUUGUGUUAUUGAAAUAAUGGUAUUUGGUGGUUUCAUGGGAUGUAAAUGCAUGUUUAAGAAUUUAAUUUCUUCUUCAAU